UACGAAGGGGGGCUAGCGUUGCUCGGAAUCACUGGGCGUAAAGCGCACGUAGGCGGAUCGUUAAGUCAGGGGUGAAAUCCUGGAGCUCAACUCCAGAACUGCCUUUGAUACUGGCGAUCUUGAGUUCGGGAGAGGUGAGUGGAACUGCGAGUGUAGAGGUGAAAUUCGUAGAUAUUCGCAAGAACACCAGUGGCGAAGGCGGCUCACUGGCCCGAUACUGACGCUGAGGCACGAAAGCGUGGG
rnacentral:rRNA from 1 species